rnacentral:rRNA from 1 species
GAUGAACGCUGGCGGCGUGCCUAAUACAUGCAAGUCGAGCGAACAGACGAGGAGCUUGCUCCUCUGACGUUAGCGGCGGACGGGUGAGUAACACGUGGAUAACCUACCUAUAAGACUGGGAUAACUUCGGGAAACCGGAGCUAAUACCGGAUAAUAUAUUGAACCGCAUGGUUCAAUAGUUAAAGACGGUUUUGCUGUCACUUAUAGAUGGAUCCGCGCCGCAUUAGCUAGUUGGUAAGGUAACGGCUUACCAAGGCGACGAUGCGUAGCCGACCUGAGAGGGUGAUCGGCCACACUGGAACUGAGGCACGGUCCAGACUCCUACGGGAGGCAGCAGUAGGGAAUCUUCCGCAAUGGGCGAAAGCCUGACGGAGCAACGCCGCGUGAGUGAUGAAGGUCUUCGGAUCGUAAAACUCUGUUAUUAGGGAAGAACAAAUGUGUAAGUAACUAUGCACGUCUUGACGGUACCUAAUCAGAAAGCCACGGCUAACUACGUG